GGUGAAUUCGUAGAUAUUAGAAAGAAUACCAAUUGCGAAGGCAGCUUUCUGGAUCAUUACUGACGCUGAGGAACGAAAGCAUGGGUAGCGAAGAGGAUUAGAUACCCUCGUAGUCCAUGCCGUAAACGAUGUGUGUUAGACGUUGGAAAUUUAUUUUCAGUGUCGCAGCGAAAGCGAUAAACACACCGCCUGGGGAGUACGACCGCAAGGUUAAAACUCAAAUGAAUUGACGGGGACCCGCACAAGUAGUGGAGCAUGUGGUUUAAUUCGAAGAUACGCGCAGAACCUUACCAACACUUGACAUGUUCGUCGCGACUUUAAGAGAUUAAAGUUUUCGGUUCGGCCGGACGAAACACAGGUGCUGCAUGGCUGUCGUCAGCUCGUGUCGUGAGAUGUUGGGUUAAGUCCCGCAACGAGCGCAACCCUCACUUUUAGUUGCCAUCAUUUAGUUGGGCACUCUGAAAGAACUGCCAGUGAUAAGCUGGAGGAAGGUGGGGAUGACGUCAAGUCCUCAUGGCCCUUACGUGUUGGGCUACACACGUGCUACAAUGGUAUUUACAACAGGAAGCGAAACAGCGAUGUUAAGCAAAUCCUUAAAAGAUACCUCAGUUCGGAUUGCACUCUGCAACUCGAGUGCAUGAAGCUGGAAUUACUAGUAAUCGUGGAUCAGCGUGCCACGGUGAAUGCGUUCCCGGGUCUUGUACACACCGCCCGUCACACCAUGGGAGUUGGUUCUACCUUAAGGCAAGGUUUAAUACCCUUGACUACGGUAUAGUCAGCGACUGGGGUGAAGUCGUAACAAGGU
rnacentral:rRNA from 1 species